UCAGGCUCCUAUCGAAGCCGUUCAGGCUCUACUGUAGCUUAGAGCGGUCAACUGGAUGCCGAGAAGAAGACUUCCACCGACGGUCGCUGAUCAGUUUAAAUAUAACUGUUUCAGCAACAUUAAGGGGAAGGACAUUU